rnacentral:lncRNA from 1 species
CUACUGAUUGGAUUUGUGAUCUCAAGAUAGUACAUGUACUCCUUAUGCCUAGAUUGGGAUUUUUUCUCAAUCUGGAUUCUGGACAUCUUUGUUUACUCGUUUUGGUCAUUAAAACACAUAGGAGUACAUCGUAGAACCUCUGACAUUAAUUACUAGUGAUGUUACUUUGUUUUUCUCUUCUAUUACAAAGCACGGAGAACAUUUAUGAAGUUGGCCUUAUACAGAGUUUCCUAAAUGCUAUUACAAGUUAAUGCAUCAUCGUGCAUUUUGAAUUCCCAAAGCCCUUAACAGGAAGGCCACAUUUU